rnacentral:rRNA from 1 species
AGUGAACGCUGGCGGUAGGCCUAACACAUGCAAGUCGAACGGCAGCACAGUAAGAGCUUGCUCUUACGGGUGGCGAGUGGCGGACGGGUGAGGAAUACAUCGGAAUCUACUUUUUCGUGGGGGAUAACGUGGGGAAACUUACGCUAAUACCGCAUACGACCUGCGGGUGAAAGCAGGGGAUCUUCGGACCUUGCGCGAUUGAAUGAGCCGAUGUCGGAUUAGCUAGUUGGCGGGGUAAAGGCCCACCAAGGCGACGAUCCGUAGCUGGUCUGAGAGGAUGAUCAGCCACACUGGAACUGAGACACGGUCCAGACUCCUACGGGAGGCAGCAGUGGGGAAUAUUGGACAAUGGGCGCAAGCCUGAUCCAGCCAUACCGCGUGGGUGAAGAAGGCCUUCGGGUUGUAAAGCCCUUUUGUUGGGAAAGAAAAGCAGCAGGUUAAUACCCCGCUGUUCUGACGGUACCCAAAGAAUAAGCACCGGCUAACUUCGUG